rnacentral:misc_RNA from 1 species
CGUUGAUCGGGAUUGCUGUGGUCGUAUGUGACGGUGCAUGAGUGGUGACAAGGUUGUUGGGUUCGGCAGGCUCCAUGCUUCAUGCAUCGAACUGUCGAAACACGAUCUCCUCAGUUGUUGCAUAGCCCAUGCGCGCUUCUUUGUUCCUCGUGGGCGAAUGUCGGGUUUCUGUGCUGCUUACCAAUGUGAUUGGAAAUCGAUGCUUCAUGGUGGGAUAUCCGUCGCUCCCUUCUUUAGGGGUUGCGAUGAACGUCAUAGCGCCUCCUGUGUUCCAGGCAUGAUGAUCCCUUGAUUGAUCGAAUGUUUUGGCACAUGGGUAGGUAGCUCGUGCUUUGGGAUGCAUAAAGUUGGAUUCGGUCGAGGGAUCUUAAAGCCCCUCAGUUGCCUGAUAUAACGUCCGCGUUAUACACGAAUGAACGAACGACUUGCGAUUCUCGUUUCCGGCUCCCGAUAUGUUGGGAUGAUGAAUCCUUCACAUGUCGGGUGAUGGGGCGGGGGUUGCGGUCGCGAAGGAAUGC